rnacentral:lncRNA from 1 species
UUUACCAGCUGGCAGAGAGCCUUCUUUUUCCGAUUCUCUAUUUCCUUUCCUCAUUCCCAAUCUCCGAUCCAUCCCUAAAAACAACUGACGAGAGAUCGAUGAUGAUGAAGAUGCCUUGGAGGAGGAAGAGCAGGAGCUUCCAUCUUCAGCUACAAGGGGCAAUUGGUACCAUUCAAUCUCCAUUCCUAUUCUUAUUUACCAAUUAUUGCCAUUCUUCUACUUCCACACUUCAAGAUGCACGCUUCUUGACAAAUAAUUUCAAAUCUGCUUCUUUUACCCACCUUGAUGAUGCCAUUGCUUCCUUCAAUCAUGUAAUUCAUAAGCAUCCUCUGCCUUCUAGGAUUCCAUUUAAUAGAUUCUUAUCUGCCCUUGUGAAAAUGAAACAAUAUCACACUGUCCUUUCCAUGUCCAAAACAAUUGAAUUGCUAGGAAUCACUCACGAUGUUUAUUCUCUUAACAUCUUAAUUAAUUGCUUCUGCCGUUUACAUCUUGUGGAUUUUGGCUUCUCUGUUUUCGGAAAGAUGUUCAAAUUCGGAUUGGAGCCUACCACUGUGACAUUUACUACCUUAAUUAAUGGGCUUUGUAUAGAGAGUAAAAUGGACAAAGCAGUGGAAUUUUUCGAUGAUAUGCUUGCACGUGGUUAUCAACCUAAUGUUUAUACUUUCAAUGUGAUAGUAAAGGGAUUGUGUAAAUUUGGGAAAACAAAUCUGGCUAUUGAGCUACUAAAGGAAAUGGCUGAUAGAGGUUGUGAGCCAGAUGUGACAUACAAUGCAAUCAUUGACACACUUUGCAAAGAUGAGCUAGUUGGUGAGGCUUUAGAGCUCUUCUCUCAAAUGAGGAAUAAGGGCAUUUCACCUAAUGUCAUCACUUACACUAGUUUAAUUCAUGGUGCUUGCAAAUUAGGCCAAAAGAACCAAGCUUUGGCCUUGAUGAAUGAAAUGGUGGAGCAGAACAUAUUACCAAAUGUUUAUACCUUCAGUGUAUUGAUUGAUGCUCUUUGUAAGGAUGGAAUGGUUUCAGAGGCUCAAAAUACAUUCAAUGUAAUGAUUCAAAGAGGUGUAGAGCCUGAUGUGGUCACCUACAAUUCCUUAAUUGAUGGUCUUUGCAUUUCAGACCAAUUCCAGGAAGCUUUGGCCUUGUUGAAAGAAAUGGUGGGGAGGAACAUAUCCCCUGAUGUUUUUACCUUCAAUAUAUUGAUCGACACUCUUUGUAAGAAAGGACUGGUUUCAAAUGCACAGAAUAUAAUCAAGAUAAUGAUUCAAAGAGGUGUGGAACCUGAUGUUGUCAAUUAUAAUUCGUUGAUGGAUGGAUAUUGUCUGCGCAAGCAAAUUGAUAAGGCUAGAAAGCUAUUUGAUCUGAUGGUGACAAAUGAAAUAGCUAACAUUUUUAGUUACAACAUUUUGAUCAAUGGAUAUUGUAAGUGCAAAAUGAUAGAUGAUGCAAAGGAUAUUUUUGUUGAAAUGUCUCAUAAAGGUUUAGUUCCUGGUGUUGUUACUUAUUCUACUCUUAUAGAGGGUAUGUUUCAAGCAGGGAGGCCCCAAACUGCACAGGAGCUCUUUAAGAAUAUGUGCUCUCACGGUCAACAGCCAAAUAUAGUAACCUUCUCAAUUAUGAUUAAUGGCUUGUGUAGUCAGGGGAAUCUCGAUGAAGCACUCACCCUAUUGAAAAAAAUGGAGGAAAGUCAGUUAAAGCCUAAUCUUGUGACCUAUUGCAUUCUGAUCAAUGGUAUGUGCAAAGCUGGCAAGAUUAAUGAUGCCAAGGAACUGUUUUCUAGUCUUUUUGAAAAUGAUUUACAACCUAAUGUUCAUAAAUAUAGUGCAAUUAUGAAAGGACUCUGCCGAGAAGGAUUAAUAGUCGAAGCAUAUAAGAUUUUUAGAGACAUGGAAAAGGGAGGAUGUUUACCGAAUAGUUGUUGUUAUAAUAUCAUCAUUCAAGGGUUUCUCAAGCAUGAGGAUUUACCAAAAGCAUCAGAACUAAUCAAUGAAAUGGUUGACAAGGGAUUCUCUGCCGAUGCUACUACCACCGAAUUGGUAGUACGUUUAUUGUGCAAUGAUGAUCUCAUUCUGAGGCUUUUAAAGGUGCGCAAUGAGGGAUCAGCAAACUAAACUUGUUAUAUCUUGACCGAAUGUGUGUCUUGGAGCGCAACUUGGUAAUUACCUUUUUCAAAUGUAAUAGAUAUGUAAUUUAACUAACUUCUUCAAAUAUCAUUUUUAAUUUCAAUCAGCUGUGAUUCUCUUCCACAAAAUGAUAAUUUCUAACACUGCAAAUGACCUGUGGUGGAAACCAUGAUAUGUGUGUGCCUUUCGCUUGAAUUCAGACAUGGACUUGAUCUCUUUGAUAUAAGAUUGUUGAUGAAUGGAGGUCAUGGAUUUCUAAUGAUCAAGUUGCUGGUAAACCCACCAUCUCCUUUACAAUUUUUUUUGGUUGCUACUACAGCCUUAACUCGAGAGCUCAGUCCUAAAAUUGAGUUGAGAACUAAAACUAAUUGGUUCCAUACUACAAUGCUUAAGAAUCUUUAUCUAUUUUUAUUUUUGUGCUCAAUGACCUUUUAAAAUGCUAUCAUUUCUCUUGUAGGUACUUGCAACGAUAUGAUUACAACUUCACCUUUCUAACAAUAAAGGUAUAAGCAAUUCAUUUUUGCUUAGUUAUUGUAAUUUUUAAUAAUAAUGAAACUAAUGAUUAUAAACCAGUGUGCUUUAAUUGAGAAUUGAUUUAACAAUUAGACUACACUAUAAAUGCAGGGUGCAGGAUAGACAGUCCCAGAGUACAAGGUAAGAGAAUCACCAGACUUCUAUAGCUGUUGGUUGGAUGAAAUGUCACUAAAAUUACACACAACAGAAAAUGUUAUGGGAAUUGAGGGAAAAGCAAAAGAAGAGGAUGAAAAUCAGACAUAUGCAGCCACUAAGACAAGCAACUGCAAUUGGUCCUACUAGCGAUUGGAAUGCUAGUUUAGCUUCAGUUAUUUAACAGGACUUUUUGUCCAAAUUUAUUUAUGAACAAGUUCAUAAAAGGCAGGUUAGCUCUAUAUAUAACACAGGUAUAAUCAAAGAAGGUGGCAGGAAAAAAGGCAGGAAAAAUGUCAAUGCAAAGAAACUUCAUCUGAUUAAAUGGAAUACUCUUUCGUUGCCUAAAAAGAAAGGUGGCUUAGGCAUGAAAGAGAUCUCUCUUCAAAUUCAAGCUCUUUUGUUCAAAUGGCUUUGCAGAUUUGAAAAUCAUAGGGGUUCACUAAGUUCAACUUCUUCUAUCCAAAUAUUCUUUCAAUUUGGAGAAGGGUAUCUCUCUUGCUCCAGGAAAUUGCAUUUCUUCCCUCCAGAAAGACAUUCCAGCUAAUUAAAUUAUUAAUAAGUAAAAAAAUUAAAUUAUUAAUAAAUCUUUAUUUUUAUUAAAAUUAACUGUUUAAUCUCUAUUUCUAAAUCGCUCAAUUAAAACAUUUUGAAUUUUAUAAAGUCAAACUCUUCAAUAUUUUUAUCGAAUAAAAUAUUAGUAAAUAUAUUUUUAAUUUUAAUUAGAAAAAUUAAAUUAUAUAUAUAAAAUUAAAAAAUAAAAAAAAAAUAUUUAAUCAAAUAACAUAGAAAUAAAAAAAAUUAAACAGUCCAUUUUAAUAAAAUAUAAAAAUCAAAUAAUAAUCCGCUCUUUUAUAGUUUAAAGUAAUUUUUUGGAUACUUCAUAGCAAAUUCUCAAUAAUUUUACCAAUUAUAUCUACCAUUUAUAUACGUCUUUUUUCAAGUUUUAUUUUUUUUUCUAUUCAUGCAUUGCAUUGAUUUUUAUUUCUUAUGAGAAUUGCUGGCAAAAUAAUAUUGUAUUGUAGGAUGCUUUAUGAACGGUAGAUGUUAAAAAUAUAAAAUAAAAACUAGUUUAUUAAUUGUUGAUAAGCCUAUGUACCAAUAAGCAAAUUAAUUUCUUAAUUCACUUUCUACACGCUUGCACUCAUAAAUAUUGGGGUGAGCAGUCGAUCGAAUCGAAUUAAUUUAAAAAUUCGGUUCAGUUUUUUAUUUAUUUUGAUUCGGUUCGAUUUUUAAUUUUAGAAAUUUCAGUUGUUUCGGUUCAGUUCGAUUUUGAUCAGAAAAAAAUCGAAAAAACUGAACCGAAUCGAUUAGUGAUAAUAAUAUAUUUUUUUCAAUAAUAUAAAAAAAUUAAAUCAUAUUAAGAUUAAAAUAUUUUAAUUAAAUUUUAAAAUACUAAAAAUAAAGUGAAAAAAAUAAAAAAUUUAUUAAAAAUCAAAACCGAUUAAAUCGAACUGAAUCAAAUCGAUUUAAUUCGUUUAGUUUCUGACUAAAAUAAAUUCGGUUUGAUUUUUAUAAAAACUAAAAAUUUCAAUUUUCAAUUUAUUCGAUUCAGUUCAAUUUUAAACCGAACUGACCGAAUGCUCAUCUCUACAUAUAUGUAUACUUGCUAUUCGUUUUACACUAAACCCUUGAAAAAAAUUAAUAUAAAAAUAUACUCACAAAUUUAGUCUAGUGGUAAUUACAUCUAAGUAAAUAUGAUGAGUGAUGUCAGAUCCUACUUUCUCAAUCUUUAAUUCUUAUUUCAAAAAAAAUUAAUAUAGAAAUUAAGACUUUAUUUAUUUUAUAAAAAAUAUUUUAUAAAAAUAUUACUCUAUAAGAAAUAUAGUUUAAUAAUAAAAAAAUUAUUAAUUUAAGGUGCUGACUUCAUAUUUUUUAUUUUUUAUUUUUUCAAAAAUUAAUUAUAUAAAAAUAAGUAUAAAUUUUUAUAUAAUGGUAAGAAAUAAUAUAAUUUUUUUUAAAAUAUGAUAUUUAAUAGUAAAAUAAUAGUAUAAAUAAUUUUAUAAAUGACUAUAUAUAAAAAUAUUAAUAAAUUAUCUUUACACAGUAUAUAAUGUUAUAAUAAAAAAUUAUUAUUCGAUAAUUGUCAUAUAAAAAAUUUAUUAGUUAAUUUUUUAAUUUUAAAAAAUACAUUAAAAGUUUAUGAAAUUUUAAAAAGUCUACCGAUGAGUCCUUACGUUAAUUUUAGCCGCUAAGUAUUAUAAAAAUAAAAAGUACUAUUUAAUCUUUAUAAUAUAAGAAAACUCACAAAUUAAUUUAUUGAUUUUGAAAAAUAUAUUAAGAUAUUUCUAAUUUUAAAAAAUUCACUCAUUAAUCUCUUCAUUAAUUUUAGUUGUUUAGUUUUAUAAAAAAAAAAUUUAAUGUUUUAAUAUGAAAGAACUAAUUAGUAAAUAUUUUUAUAAAAUUGAGAGAUCAACUAAUAAAUUUUCUCUUACUACAUAAAUUAAAUAGUAAAAUAUUUAAUAGGUGAAAUUAAUAAAAUAAUUAAUUAAUAUAUUUUUAGUAUUUUAUGGAUGCUUUAAUGUUUUUUUUUUAAAAUAAAGUGACUAACUAAUUUAUUCUUCUAUAUCAUAAAGAUUAAAUAAUAAAUUUUACUUAUAAAAAGAUUUAAAAUAUCUUCAAUAUGAAUGUACUAAUUAAUAGGUAUUUUUAUAAAAUUAAAAAAUUAAUUAAUAAAUUUUUAAUAUUACAGAAAUUAAAUAAUAAAAUAUUUAAUAAUUAAAAUUAAUAAAAUGACUAAUUAAUAUAUUUUUUAAAAUUUAAAGGAUUUUUUAUUUUAUUUUUUAAAAUUAAAAAUCAAUUAAAAAUUUUUUAUAUUACAAUAAUUAAAUAAUAAAUUUUCCUUAUGAUAAUAAAAUAAAAAUAUAUUUUAUAAAUUAAUUAAUUAAAUAUUUAUUUAAUAAUAUGAAUUUAACUGAUGAGAUAAAAUUUUAAAAUUUUUAACGUAAUUUAAUAAAAAUUAUUAAAAAAAGGAAGCGCAAUGAUAACAAAUAUAUUUUUAAUUUUUUUUUUGUUAAUGAUACAUAUAUAACUAUUAAUAAUAUAAGUUAUUAAAAUAAAAAUAAAUAUUUUUUUUAAAUUUCAUAUCAAAAAAAAUAUCACCUAAAACUACUAUAAAUUAAUAAGUAAUAUAAUUUAUAAACCAUAUAAAUUUACUAUAAGUACAAAUUGAACUUCUCAUUUUUACUGAAAAUAUUAUAUAUUUAAUUAUUAUUAAUAUUUAAUUAUUUUUAAUUAUUAUUAUAUUUUAAAUUUAUUAUACAAGAAAGUAAUAAUUCUUUAUUUAAAUUAUAACAACAACUUUUAUUGUUAUUAAAAUUUUUUAUCAUCAUAUUAAUUAUUAUUAAAAAAAUAAAUUUAUUGUCAUUAUUAUCGAUUUAAUAAUUAAUUAUAGUGUGUCGUAAUUUUUAAUGAUAAAACUUUUCAUGACAACUUAACGACCAAAUAAAAUGAUUGUUAAUUAUUUUUAAUAAUUAAUUUUUAAUAUUUAAUGAUAAUUUUAAUGAUAAAACUUUUAAAUUAUAAGUAAAAUAUAUGAAAGUACUUAACUCACUCAAGAAAAUUUUAUCUAUAUUAUACAUGUAUAUCAUAAAAUUAGAAGUAAUAUUUGCUAAUUAAUGAUAAACUAUUAUAUGUAAUGUCAUGUCAUUUCAUAUUUUUUAACGAUAUGUAUUUGUAGGAUUCUAAACUUUAAAAAAGUGCCAUAAUAUAUUUGAAUUAUUUAUAAGGUUUCAUGACAUACCUGAAUUAUUUAUAAGUGAAAUUAAAAUAGUUUUACAAUUUUAAUAUAACAUGAAGCUUUUACGGUAAGAAGAUUUUUUUUUAUUAUUGUAAAAAAUAUAUAGUGAGUUUCAAAUUCAAAAUUUAUGCAUUGUGUAUAAUUUUAUUAUUAUUAAGUAAUUAUUAAAGGUGAAAUUAGAUAAUAAUUUGAUUUUUGUUGUAACGAUCUAAUAAUCAGACCGUUAUUGGUACUAGGGUUCAAAUCGACUUAAGGUCGUCAGGAUUUGUAUCAAGUCUACUAUACAUUCUGCUAUAUCUAAUAAAAUUUCAUAUAUGAUCACAAGAUUUAACAAAAUAUAGACAUUUCAUGAACCAAGACUCGACUUGUAUAUGUAUUAAAAUUGAAAUCAUAAAAUUCAUACUAAAACUCUCAUCAAAUACUUCAGUAUAGUCAACAAAACAUGACUCAAACUCAGUUUAAAUAUAACUCAUAAUUAAAAUUUUUAUAUAAGGAUCAUGCAAAUAAGGAUUUACAAAUACAAAUACUAGGGCAAAACACAAUUCUAAAUCAUCAAAUAAUAUAUGUCCACAUCUAUACUAUUAUAAUAGACUAUACCAGUAAUUCAGUCGUUAUUUAUUUCAUCAUUUUAAUUACGUUAUUUUCUUCUUUAAUCUUUCUUUUUAAAUCAAUUUAUCCAAUAAUAAUUUUUUUAAACUUUUCUUUUAUCCUACCUAUCAUCUAAUUUAAAUGAAGUUAAAGUAUUUAUAGAUACAUUUGUUUACCCUAUCGGCAUAUUUUUUUAAAUUAAGUAAAAGACAAUCAGUUUUGAUUAAUGAAUUCAAUGUCUAUUUGUAUCCAUUGAAUUUUACAAAUGAAUUUUAUAUUUAUUCAGAUAUAUGUUUGUUUAAUUUUAUAAAUAUAUUAUAUAUCUAUUUAUAAAUUAAAUUGUGUUUAUUUAAUUUUAUAGAUGUAUCACUCGGUUUGCGAAUACAUUUAUGUCUAAUGCUAAAUAUGUAAAAAAAAAUCAAUAUAACAAUUCUAUAUUUAAUCUUUAUGUUAAUUUACAUUUCAAUUAAAUAUAUUUAUUUUUUAAUUUCAAUUUAAUACUUAAUGAGUUACAAAACUCACUAUUUUUUUAUAUUAAAUUCCAUUUUAUUAUGAUUUUGAUAUAAAUAAUUAAUUUUUACUUAAUUUGAAGCGAAAAUGAAAAAAAACAAAAAAUACUGUUUUAAAGCUUUUUUUUAUUAUAAGGUACAACCUUAUCUAAAAUUGUGACCCAACUUGGAUGGCUAUAUUGCGGUCUUUCUGGUUGCCAGUAAUAAAGAGUUCAAAACUAUUUUUAAAUAGAUGCAAAUACAAUCAUAUUAAGAUUAAGAUAAGAGUUAUCUAGUAGAUUUAUUUUAUUUUUUCUUUUAAACGGCGAAUAAUUAUUCUUUUAUUUAGGAAAAUCCUAUAUAAAUGCCACUUUAGAAGUAGAUCUCUCAUCUCUUCUCCUCUUGCCCACACCCUCUUUUCAGUUUCUCUUUGGCCGAGCCUCCUUCCCCUUUUCUUUUAUUUUCUGCAAUUUUAUUAUAACCUUUAUAGGCUAAACUCUUUUUUUAGUUGAAGGUUAAUCAAGUUAAUAUUUAAUUAAGUCGUAAGAUUUAGUUCUUAUUUCUAUUCAUCUGAAUUUCUUUUUUCAAUUAAUUUCUAUUUUCGAGUAAUACCAUCUCCAUUACUGUUCUUUAGAAAUUUAAAAGGUUUAUUAAAUCUCUUAGAAAGAAAACAUAUUGCUAAUUAACUCCAAGUAAAUAUGAAAUUAUUUUAUUGUAUUAAUAUAAAUAAUAAUUAGCAUAUUUCUUUAUAUUAAGAAAUUAAUUAAUUUGGUUUAAAUAAUUCAUUUGCUAUUAUCGAUCAAGUUUGAGUUCUUCUCUUCUUAAAACUGUUAAUUAAUUAAAUUUACACGCUUAUGAAAUUAUUAAUUAACUAAAAAAUUAAUUUAAAUGCUAUACAGAUUAAUUUAAUCUUAAGAAAUAAUAGGUGAAAUUUGCUUAUUUAAACACUAUAAUAAAAUAAUAAACAAUCGAGUGAAUAUCUUUUUAAUUAAUGAUGGGUUGCAAAUUUAUUAAUUUUAAUUACUUUCAACUGAAUUUUAAUUUGAUUAUUUAUUUUAUCAUUUUAAUUAUAAUAUUUUAUUUCUUCUUUAGUUUAUUUUUAAAAUCAACUUCUAAUUUUAUUAUUAUCUCUUUUAUUUCAAAUAGUUCUUUUUUUCUCAAUUUUCAUAAAUAUUAAACAAUUUUAAAAUAUAUGUGAAAUCAAUACUUAUUUAACUCCAAAAUUUUUUAAAUUAAAAAAAUUAAUUUUAAAUUGAUAGAUUUGACGAUUGUAAAUAAAUUUUUAAUUUUAAUUUCUAUUCCAUUUAUAUUCAUUUAAAUUAAUCAAUAAAUUUUAAAUUUUAUAAAUUCACCCUCUAAUUUAAACUUUAAUAUUUUUAAACUUAAACUUAUUAUUAAAAUUUUAUCCCAAUCUUUUCAAUUGUAAUUAAAUUUAUUUAUAAAUUAAUUUUUAAUUAAAAACACAUAAAAAAUAAAUAAUGAAAAACUGGAGAAACCUCUAUUUUAAUCAAUUUUUUUUAAUUAGUUAAAUUUUCUUGUGAAAUACUAAUUUUUUUCGUGGUGAAAUUGUUAAUGGUUUUUUAAUUUAAUAGAAAUAUCAAGUAGGUUAAAAAAAUUAUGAAAAUAAAUUUAAUUAAAUCUCUUUUAUUAAGAGUCAAAUAUAUUCAAUUUAAAAUUUUUAAAAUUUUAAGUCAAUUAAAUUAUAUCAUUUUAUUAAGGGCUAAAUAGAUUUUAAUUUAAUAUUAUUUUUUAAUAAUAAAAUAUUAUUUUUAUAAUUUAAAAUAUUAAAAAUUUAAUAUUUAAUUAUUAUAAAAAAUUUUAAAAUAUAUAAACAUAAUAAAUAAUUUCUAAAAUUAUAAAAAAAUUUAUCAUAUAAAAAAUAUUUUUAUUAUUAAAAAUAAUAUUAUCUUAAAUUAUAAUUUAUUUGACUUUUGAGUAAUAGUAUAUAAACUUAAUUGAUUCAAAAUUUUGAAUUAAGAUUAUUUGACUGUAAAGACUUAAUUGGAUUUAUACUUAACAAAUUAUUAUUAUAAAAUAAUAAAUUUAAUUUGUUAUUAAAUAAUAUUUUUAUAUGAAAAAUUAAUUAAAAAAAUUACAAAAUGUGGUGCAUAUAAACAAUUAGUAAUGCAUUUCCUUUUGUUAUCCUUACCACUUUACCAGCUGGCACAGAGCCUUCCUUUUCCGAUUCUCUAUUUCCUUUCCUCAUUCCCAAUCUCCGAUCCAUCCCUAAAAGCAACUGACGAGAGAUCGAUGAUGAUGAAGAUGCCUUGGGAGGAGGAAGAGCAGGAGCUUCCAUCUUCAGCUACAAGGGGCAAUUGGUACCAUUCAAUCUCCAUUCCUAUUCUUAUUUACCAAUUAUUGCCAUUCUUCUACUUCCACACUUGAAGAUGCACGCUUCUUCACAAAUAACUUCAAAUCUGCUUCUUUUACCCGCCUUCAUGAUGCCAUUACUUCCUUUAAUCAUGUAAUUCAUAUGAAUCCUCUGCCUUCUAGGGUUCAUUUUAAUAGAUUCUUAUCUGCCCUCCUGAAAAUGAAUCAAUAUCACACUGUCUUUUCCAUGUCCAAAACAAUUGAAUUGCUAGGAAUCUCACACGAUGUUUAUUCUCUUAGCAUCUUAAUUAAUUGCUUCUGCCACUUACACCUUGUGGAUUUUGGCUUCUCUGUUUUUGGUAAGAUGCUCAAAUUCGGAUUGGAGCCUGACGUUGUGACAUUUACUACCUUAAUUAAUGGGCUUUGUAUAGAGAAUAAAAUGGACAAAGCAGAAUUGAGAGAAUACCUCCAUUCAUAAAUCACAUGUUGAGAGAAUUGAUGACUACUCUCAUAGUGUAGAAACUUUAGACAUCAUGAAUCUCAGUGUAAGAAAAGGCACAAAAGAUAAAUCUAGUAAUUUAAGAAUAAAAGAAUAGAUGGAAAUAAGCGUGACAAUGUUGAAGAGGUGGUAACGGUGGCAGGGAAUAUAAAUGAAGGAAAAUGGAAGAGUAGAGUGGUAGGAAGUGUGAAAGGAAAAGAGAAGAUAUAUAGUCCUACAAGAGAAAAUUAUUAAUUAUAUAAUAUUAUAACAGAGAGAUUGGAGUGCAUUUUAAUUUUUUUUCUUUAUAUAUAUAAUUUAUGUGAAUUGAUUCGAAAAGUUUAACGUUUGUAAUAUUAACAUUUUAAUUUUAAUUUUUUAAUUUUAGUUUAAUUAGUUUAAAUUUUACGUUCUUAUGUAAUUUUAAUUUACUUAUAAUUUUUAAAUUUCUGGUAUAUCACAUAAUUUAUUAUUAUUAUUAUUAUUAUUAUUAUUAUUAUUAUUAAUGAUUAAAUUAUCAAAAAAUUUAACAUUUAUAUUAUUUUGUAUUUUAAUUCAAAUGUUUAAAUUUUAAUUUAAUUAGCCCAAUAUAUAUAUUUGAUUGUAAUUUUAAUCAAUUUUAAAAAUCAAAAUAUAAGAAUUCGAAUAUCAAAUGUAAUAUUUUAUUAUUUUUUAAAUAUAAACUAAUUCAAAUAAUAUUAACUCAAUUUAAUUAUAGUUAAAUUAUAUAUUUAAUUUAAAAAAAUAAUAAUUUAAUGAUCAAAUAGAUCGUUUAUAUUGAUAGAUUUUAUUUUGCAUUGAUAGUUAUGAGAAAUUUAUAAUAAAUAUAUUAUUUUUAAUUAUUUUAUAUAUCCUGUUAUUUUAAAUUAAAUAAUAUAUUUACUAUAAAAUAUUUAUAAUUAUUAUUAUAAAAUAAAAUUUAUCAUAGUAGAAAACGUAAAUUAUAUAUUUAAUAAUUAAAUUAUUUAUUUUAAUUGGUCAAAAUUAUACUCAAACAUAAAUAUUGAAUCAAUUUAUUUAAAAUUUACACAUUUGAAUUAAAAUAUAAUAGUAUAAAUAUUAGAUUUUUUUAAUUAAUUAAUCAAUCAAAAAAUUUAUAAUAAUACACGUGUCAGCUAAAUAAUUAAAUUUAAAAGUUCACAGAUUAGAUAAAAUUACAUUAAAAUGUAAAAAUUGAGUUAAUUAAAUUAAAAUUAAAAAAUUAAAAUAUAAAUAUAAAUACAUGUAAAUAUUAAAUAUUUUUAAGUCAAUUAACCUAUAGUUUAUUUUAUACAUGUCUAUAAAUAAUAGUUUUAAAAUUCAAGAUAUACAAAAUGAUAAAUAAUUAAGAAUCUAUUUAUUAUUUAAAUUGUCAAAACUACAUUUGCAUAGAUUUAAUGAUCUCAUUCUGAGGCUUUUAAAGGUGCGCAAUGAGGAAUCAGCAAACUAAAGUUGUUAUAUCUUGACCAUUUAAGUGUGUCUUGGAGUGCAACUUAAUAAUUACCUUUUUCAAAUAUAAUAGAUAUGUAAUUUAACUAACUUCUUCAAAUAUCAUUUUUAAUUUCAAUCAGCUGUGAUUCUCUUCCAUAAAACGAAAAUUUCUAACACUGCAAAUUACCUGUGGUGGAAACCAUGAUAUGUGUGUGCCUUUCGCUUGAAUUGAGACAUGGACUAGAUCUCUUUGAUAUAAGAUUGUUGAUGAAUGGAGGUCAUGGAUUUCUAAUCAUCAAGUUGCUGGUAAACCCACCAUUUCCAUUACAAUUUUUUUUGCCUGCUACUACAGCCUUUACUCGAGAGCUCAGUUCUAAAUUUGAGUUGAGAACUAAAACUAAUUGGUUCCAUACUACAAUGCCUAAGAAUCUUUAUCUAUUUUUGUUUUUGUGCUCAAUGACCUUUCAAAAUGCUAUCAUUUCUUUUGCAGGUACUUGCAAGGAUAUGACUAUAACUUCACCUUCCUAACCAUAAAGGUAUAAGCAAUUCUUUUUUGCUUAAUUAUUAUAUUUUUAAUAAUAAUGAAAAUAAUGAUUAUAGACCAGUAUGCUUUAAUUGAGAAUUGAUUUAACAAUUAGACUACACUAUAAAUGCAGGGUGCAGGAUAGACAGUCCCAGAGUACAAGGUAAGAGAAUCACUGGACUUCUACAGCUGUUGGUUGGAUGAAAUGUCACUAAAAUUAUAGACAACAGAAAAUGUUAUGGGAAUUGAAGGAAAAGCCAACAUCGUCUUUGUCACCUUUUCUUUUUCUAGUCAUCAAGUUGGGUAUAUAUAUAUAUAUAUAUAUCCUUAAUUUCUUUUAUUUUCCUUCAAGUCAAAUUAGUGAAAUCAUUGCAUUAGCAUCUAAUAAUGUGAAGGUCACAAUCUUUUCCAAUGAAAUCAUUUUUUUAACAUGAAAUUUGAAUUUUAGAAAUGCUUGUGGAAGGUAUAUAUAUAUUCUUCCCUUUGAGAUUCUUUACUUUGUGCCAAGUUGUUUGGAUGUGUAACUGGCGAUUAAAUGUUGAUAGUUAAUAGCAAUAGCUAUCAAAUAAAGCGAGUCCAUUUAAGGAUAUGAUUAAAUCACUUUGCUUGGCGUAAUGCAACUAUUUUGAAACUGCUUUCUAAAUUAACCAAACCUCUAUUGUAUGAUUUGUAUCCUGCUGAAGCCAAGGUACAAGUGUAGUGGUUGAGAAAUCUGCCAUUUUUUUUUAGUUUUUUGUUUGACAGAAAAUCUACCAAUUUAAGUUGUUGAAACUGUUGAAUCUUGUGAUAGUAAAUUAUUCAGAUCCUUCUGCUCUUCAAAACUCAGAUAAUCCAAGUAGGAUUCUCAUAUCUGCACCCUUAAAUUUAGUAAAUUAUUCGACUUGGAGUAUGUCUAUGACUAUGACACUUGCUUUAAAGAAAGAUUUGGGCAACUUAUACACCAAUUAAAGAAAGAAAUAAAUCAAGAAUCUAUAUCAGUUGUUGUUUACUUUAGAAAAUUGAAGAAACUAUGGGAUAAACUUGGUGUUUUAAAGCAUCAUCAAAGAUAUGAGUUUGUUUUUAGUAUAAUUCUAUGUUCAGCCUCCUCAUUCUUAAAAGAAAAGUUAGGAAGUUAGAAAGUUGGGAGUGGAGGAAAGAGUUUCAUAUAGAUUUUGUGACUUUUGGAAAGCUUUUGGGCGUGUUAGAGAUACUUGCUGAUUGGUUUAGAAAUUAUAAGCAAAAGAAGAGGAUGAAAAUCAGACAUAUGCAAGCCACUGAGACAAGCAACUGCAAUUGGUCCUGCUAGCGAUUGGAAUGCUAGUUUAGCUUCAGCUAUUUAACAGGACUUUUUGUCCAAAUUUAUUUAUGAACAAGUUCAUAAUAGGCAGGUUAGCUCUAUAUAUAACACAGCUAUAAUCAAAGAAGGGGGCAGGAAAAAUGUCAAUACAAAGAAACUUCAUCUGAUUAAAUGGAAUACUCUUUUGUUGCCUAAAAAGAAUGGAGGCUUAGGCAUGAAAGAGAUCUCUCUUCAAAUUCACGCUCUUUUGUUCAAAUGGCUUUGGAGAUUUGAAAAUCAUAGGGAUUCACUCUGAGUUCAACUUCUUCUAUCCAAAUAUUCUUUCAAUUUGGAGAAGGGUAUCUCUCUUGCUCCAGGAAAUUGCAUUUCUUCCCUUCAGAAAGACAUUCGAGGCUAUGCUACUUUCGAUGAACUCUUCCUUCUCUCCUUUAAUUCAUAUCAGAUUUGCUGUGGGGAAUGAGAUGAAAAUGAAAUUUUGGAAUGAAAGACGAUCGGUUGGUAAUAUUGCUCUCAAAUUCUCCUUUAGUGGACUAUUAAAUUUAGCAGCUAACCUAGUUGUGUUGAUGUUAAAUAUGGGGUGUUGGGUGAAGAACAAAUGGGAAUGGGAAAUAAUUGAAUUGUCAAAAUUAUACUUGUCAAAAUCUCGAAUGUGAUUGAUCCUGGUAACCUGCAUCCCUUUCUUCUUUCUAUGAUUGAGCGUUUAUAAAUGAGCAAGGUCUGUCUACUAACAGUAACUCAUAUGCAUCCUUUGCCUUGUAGGCUCAAUUUAAUAGAUUCUUAUUUGCCCUUGUGAAAAUGCCACGCAACAAUAUUACGUACUUUGUCAUUUCCUUGUUUAAAACAACUGAAUUGUUGAUAUUUAAUAGAUUCUUAAAUGUUUCUUUUUCCAUUUACACCUUGUGGAUUUUGGCUUCUUUGCUUUUCGGAAAUUUAUAUAUAUAUAUAUAUAUAUAUAUAUAUUUGAAAAAGAUAAAAAUUGAAUACAACUCAAUAGUCUCAAUCAACUCUCCAAGCUGAAACAUGUUAUAUUUCAUUUAAAAGAAUGAAUUGAUCAACUCUUAUUUUUAUAUUUUUGAAAGAAAUAAAAAUUGAGUACAACUGAUAGAGAAGUAGUCUUAACCAACUCUUCAAUUCUUCUGAUAUAAUUUGUUUAAUUGUUCUUCUUCACUGCUUUAAUUUGCAACUUUUUUUAAACCAAUUAAUAAACUAAUUUAUAUAAAUUGAAUCCCAAUUACUCUUCUCCAGUAUAAAAUUUCCUUUCAAGUUCUCUCACUCUCAAACCUUUCAUUAACUUAGAAAAUUUUGAUCAAUAAUGCUAUCGUGGGAAGCUUCUAGCAGGAAAAUGAAUUCUCUUUUCAAGAUUUUAAGUCAAUGUUAUGCAAUCAAAUUAUUACUUUCCAAUUCGACCGAUUAGAAAGCUAAAAUCCUAUAAAUUUAAAGAGGCUAUGUAGCCAUAUAUGUGGGUGACGAAGACAAAAGAUAUCAAGUUUCAGUGGAAAAUCUCAAGUUUUCUGCAUUACAAGAAAAUUGCCUUAGGAUAGUGAUCUCGACUCUAGGAUAGUGAUCUCGACUCCAAAAUUGAUGGCCAAUCGUACUUGCUACUGACAAGUUUGAUGAACUACUGAAACUUGUAAAGGGUUGUCAUAUGAAACUUUAGAGAGUUUUGAAUAAUUUUUUUUUAUAUGUUUAAAUUACUAAUAAAUAUUUUAUUUUAUUAAAAUUAAUUUUUCAAUUUCUAUUUCUAAAUUACUCAAUUAAAAUUUUAAAUCAUUUUAAAUUUUAUAAAGUCAAACUUUUUAAUUUUUUUGCACUCCUAAACUUAGUCUGGUGAUAAGUGCAUCCGAGUAAAUCUGAGAGAUCUAGGUUCGAAUUCUCCGACCCCUAAUUCAAAAAAAAAAAUUAAAUAUUUUUAUCGAAUAAAAUAUUAGUAAAUAUAUUUUUAGCUUUAAUUAGAAAAUUUUAAAUUAUAUAUAAUAUAAAACUUUAUUUUAAUCAAAUGACAAAAUUAAAAAAUUAAACGGUCAAUUUUGACACAAUAUAAAAAUCAAAUAAUAAUCCACUCUUUUAUAUUUUAAAGUAAUUUUUUGGGUACAUUAUGGGAAAUUCUCAAUAAUUUUACCAAUUAUAUCUACCAUUUAUAUGCGUCUUCGAAAAGUUUUAUUUUUUCUAUUUAUGCAUUGAUUUUAUUUCUUAUGAGAAUUUGCCAAUCUCCAAUCCAUCCCUAUUUCCUUUUCCGAUUCUCUAUUUCCUUUCCUCAUUCCCAAUCUCCGAUCCAUCCCUAAAAACAGCUGACGAGAGAUCGAUGAUGAUGAAGAUGCCUUGGAAUAGGAAGAGCAGGAGCUUCCAUCUUCAGCUACAAGGGGCAAUUGGUACCAUUCAAUCUCCAUUCCUAUUCUUAUUUACCAAUUAUUGCCAUUCUUCUACUUACACGCUUGAAGAUGCACGCUUCUUGACAAAUAACUUCAAAUCUGCUUCUUUUACCCACCUUGAUGAUGCCAUUGCUUCCUUCAAUCAUGUAAUUCAUAAGCAUCCUCUGCCUUCUAGGGUUCCAUUUAAUAGAUUCUUAUCUGCCCUUGUGAAAAUGAAACAAUAUCACACUGUCCUUUCCAUGUCCAANNN